CAAGAUCUCUCUGCAAGAUGGGGCCAGGCUGACCUUCUGUCUUCCCCUGCAGUUCGCCACAUGUCCUUACUGCCAGAAUCCUGUUCCCCCAAUCCCCUGCCUGUCAUCAUCUUUUCAUGGUUCAGGUUUACCUUCUCAAGGAGGACCUCUGUGAUCCCUUAAGUAAAGCAGGUCACUCUGCAGGAUCCUGCCUCAUAUUAGAAAGUAUCUUGCUCUGUCUUUGCUGUUUAUUAUCUGCCCGCUAGAGUACAAGUUCCCUGAGGGCACAGUCCUCCUCUAACCUAUUGCUCUCAAUGCCUAGACCAGGACCUGACAUCCAGAGAUGCUUAGCAAAUAUCCGUUGAGUGAAUGACCAAGCUGCUGCCAGGGCAAGCGGAUGUUGGUGGACAGGGGUGCUGAAGCCUAAAGUGAACUGACCUUCAUAUCUUCGGAUCACUCUGACCAUGUACAACUAGAGGUGGCCAUAUAGGAAAACAGGCCAUUCAGCUACCAUUAACUUAGGUGUAUUCUGCUCCUGAUCUGAUGCAGUACCAGCUAAUUAGCCCAUCAUGUCCUGCUUCUCUCCCCGCUAUUACCCAUGACCAUACCUCAGUUUUCUACUACUUAAAGAGUCCCAAAGGCUUCUCUCUCUCUCUCUCUCUCUCUCUCUCUCUCUCUCUCUCUCUGGAGAAACCAAAGUCCUACAUAGUCCGCCUCCUCUCCUCUCUCUGAUAUCCUCUGUCACCCGUGCUCUGCGACAGCCACAAUGGCCUUUUUAAGAUCCACAAGUCACACUUUUGCCUUCUUCAACUCCUCACUCCAGUGAGCCCCUCUGUCACCAUUCUAUUUAAAAUUAAAAUAUUUCUACAGACUCUAUAUUUCUUUCCCUGCUUUAUUUUUCUCCAAAGCACUUAACACCUUCUAACAUAAUAAGUAGUUUGUUUAUUCAGUAGCUGUCUGUCUUUCCCCAUGUGACAGUCAGCUUGCUAAUCACCAAAGGCCCAUUCUCCAUGCUGGGAACUGUGUUUUCCAGAGAUGCCCUUGCAUUUAGCCAGGGCCAUGUGACUAGUUCUUGCUGGUGGACUUAGAGCAGAAGUAUGACUCUGAAUGAGCACUCAGAAAUAGGCUGGGCCAAAAACACCUGUAUGGAACUCUAAACUUAACAGAUACGAGACAUUUAUUGUAUUAACCCACUGAGCUCUAUUUGUUAUGGCAUCUAUGACUACACCUCGAUCACUGUCUUUCACUAGAAUGGAAGCUGUCUAUGCCCAGUGCCCCACACAGUUUGGCACUUUGUAGAUAUUUUUAAAUAUCUGUUGAGUGAGUGAACAAACAAAUGCAUGAACAAAUUCCUUUUUCACCACCAAUAAGGAAAAUAAGUGGAUGGUUGGAAAGGAAUGGAAAAAAUGGAAAAUGGAAUAGGAUUAGUUGGAGUGGGUGUAUUUGAAAAAAUAGAAACUGAAGCCAGGCACAGUGAUGCAUGCAGUAAUUCCAGCUGCUGGAGAGGAUGAGAUAGUAAGAUCACAAGUUCUAGGCCACCCUAGGCAACUUAGCAAGACCCUGUCUCAAAAGGAAAAGUUAAAAAAAAAAAAAUAGCUGGGAAUAUCUCUGUAGUUCAUCACUUGCCUACCACGUAGGAGGCCCUGAAUUAAAAUCCCAGUCCCACUGGGUGCCAUGUCGCACACCUGUAAUCCCAGUUGCUCGGGAGGCUGAGACAGGAGGAUAGCGAGUUCAACGCCAGCCUCAGCAAUGGCGAGGCACUAAGCAACUCAGUGAGACCUUGUCUAUAAAUGAAAUACAAAAUAGGGCUGGGGAUGUG
rnacentral:lncRNA from 1 species